rnacentral:lncRNA from 1 species
AUAAAUCAAAAAGAUUAUUGAUCUCCCAGCACAUUCACUGAUAAAAGGAAAUACCAGCAACUCCAUGCAUCUGAGCAUACAACUUAUAUGGACUUCUAGCAAGUGAUCCCCUGGACUUAAAAACAUGUCUGAAUCCUGGCUGGGACAGUUUGGCUUUAAGUAGUACAUCAAAUUCAGGCAGGGUCUUACUCUGUUGUCCAGGCCAAGUGCAGUCGUGU